UACGUAGGGUGCAAGCGUUAAUCGGAAUUACUGGGCGUAAAGCGUGCGCAGGCGGUUAUGUAAGACAGUUGUGAAAUCCCCGGGCUCAACCUGGGAACUGCAUCUGUGACUGCAUAGCUAGAGUACGGUAGAGGGGGAUGGAAUUCCGCGUGUAGCAGUGAAAUGCGUAGAUAUGCGGAGGAACACCGAUGGCGAAGGCAAUCCCCGUGGACCUGUACUGACGCUCAUGCACGAAAGCGUGGGGAGCAAACAGG
rnacentral:rRNA from 1 species